rnacentral:rRNA from 1 species
CAGUCGCCACGGUAAUACAGAGGGUGCGAGCGUUAAUCGGAUUUACUGGGCGUAAAGCGUGCGUAGGCGGCUAAUUGAGUCGGAUGUGAAAUCCCCGAGCUUAACUUGGGAAUUGCAUUCGAUACUGGUUAGCUAGAGUGUGGGAGAGGAUGGUAGAAUUCCAGGUGUAGCGGUGAAAUGCGUAGAGAUCUGGAGGAAUACCGAUGGCGAAGGCAGCCAUCUGGCCUAACACUGACGCUGAGGUACGAAAGCAUGGGGAGCAAACAGGAUUAGAUACCCGUGUAGUCCCUGUCUCUUAUAC